rnacentral:rRNA from 1 species
CAUCUAGGCCAUACCACCCUGAACAUGCCCGAUCUCCUCUGAUCUCGAAAGCUAAGCAGUGUCAGGCCUGGUUAGUACUUGAAUGGGAGAAAUAGGCUGAGGGCAUGA